AUAAGAGAAUCCAUGAGAGAGGAUCUCACACAGAUCAAAUAAAAUAAAACUAUAGUGUCUCAGUAAUUCCAUUAUAACUUUAUUAUCAAUGUACAAAAUAGUCCAUUAACAGGCUCACAAAGUAUUUCAGCAGUAUGUCCAUGCAUGAGUCACCUCCACCCACUAUCCCCCUCUGAAUCACAAAGUACUCAUAACUGCUGCUGAUGCAAGGUUUGCACCAUGGAGGUAAAGAGAGAACGUGGCAAGGCCAACUAAAAUAAAUACUGGGAAGAUAACAGGUUUAGGUUCAUGUCUGACUAAAUUAUGGAAAGAAUCCCUGCAGAGAUAGACUUUUUUGUUAAAUAGUAAAAUCCUUUUAGUUUAACAUAAAG